rnacentral:lncRNA from 1 species
CCGGCGCGCGCGCGCGGGGCGUGACGUGGCGGCGGCGGCGGCGGGAUGCUGCGGGCGCUGUCGCUGUCGCUGCUGGUGGCGGCGGCGCUGGCGGCGGGGGGGCGGCCCGGGACCCCCCCGGCUCCGCGGGGCCGAGCUGCGGGACCUGGCCCGGGGCAAGGUGGAGGUGAGCGCGGGGCGGGCGGGGGGUGCGGGGACACCGGGGACGGCGCCGGGGAUGACGGGCUGUCUGCUCCCGCAGACCUGCGGCGGGUGACGGCUGAACCGCCUGAAAGAGGUGAAGGCCUUCGUCAGGCAGGACAUCCCCCUCUAGUACCCGCCGGCCCCGCUCGGCGGGUAGUGCUCGGUACCGGGGUGGGCGGCGGGGGACGGGGUGUGGGACGGGGAGGGACGGGGCGGGACGAGGGUAGAGGAUGGGACG